GACGAACGCUGGCGGCGUGCUUAACACAUGCAAGUCGAGCGGAGCGGCGCACGGGUGAGUAACGCGUGAGUAACUGCCCCCCUCUCUGGGAUAACAGUUGGAAACGGCUGCUAAUACCGGAUAGUGGGGGAUGACUCGCGUCCUAUCAGCUUGUUGGUGGGGUAGUGGCCUACCAAGGCGGCGACGGGUAGCCGGCCUGAGAGGGCGAGCGGCUACAUCGGGCUAGGAUACGGCGCAAUCUCCGACUGGCGGCAACAGUGGGGAAUAUUGCACAAUGGGGGAAACCCUGAUGCAGCAACGCGCGUGCGGGAUGACGGCCUUCGGGUUGUAAACCGCUUUCAGCCAUGACGCGGUAGUUGCAGAAGAAGCACCGGCUAACUACGUGCCAGCAGCCGCGGUAAUAC
rnacentral:rRNA from 1 species